ensembl:lncRNA
GGAACCUUCCUGUUCCACACUGAGUAGCUUCACCUCCCCUUUGCUGUGGUAGCAUAACUCUCACUCAGAUACUUAAACCUUCCUUGGAUCCAAAGUCUCAUUUUAGAAUGUAGCUCUACUCUGGAUGUCAGAAAUGUACACAGUACGUGUUAACAAGCUGGAUGUUGCCAUGAUGGAGACCUGCACAGAUACAGUCGUAAGAUCUUCAGGAUCCCCAGGCCACUCUGCAUACUUACAGUCCCAACCAGGAGAGGAAAAGCUCCAUCAUCGUGAUCCACAGAGGCUUGGGACCUUGUAAUAGAAUUGCGUGUCUUGUUGGACUCAGAAAUUUCAAGAGGCACAAACUUCAUACCAUGCUGAAUUUAAGCCAUUCUUGGCAUCAUCAGGAGACCAUGGGCUCAGCUUCAGACUCUCCUGAGGCUUAUGCGUGGUACAUAAACUCAAAUAGUAACUCCCACUUCUUCCUGGCCAUGCAUUGUGCGCAAAAGAGGAGAGGAAGCAGGAACAUCGUUUGCACUAAGGCAACACUGAGAAGAUCCUACUGUUUGAAGAUGAGGUCAUGAUUGCAGUGGCAUAGUUAUUUACUUCCUAAUGACGCAAGAACUCACUGCAAAUAAAAAAUAUAAAGAACAACUCUUCCCUUUAUAUCUCUUGCUGAGAGAAUGCUGAUUGCAUGUCAAGGAAUGGUGUUUUUAGGUUAAAAUAAAGUUAUUAUUAAGAUGUUUUUUCUUGUUUCAGGCCUGGUUUUAUAAUGUCACCUAAGUGAGUUAGUCCUACUGAAAUAAAGGAGGAGCCUCCUGUUAUUUAAGUAUAGACUGGUAUGGUUGCAUUUUUUUACUGUUUUGUUUUUGUUUUUGUUGUUGUUGUUGUUGAAUUUCCAUAUUUAGGAGAGCAAAGGGAAUGGAUAAAUCUUCUUGGGCAUCACUGCUGUCUCAGCUACCAAACCAUGCUCAGGUGGAUCCAGUGCCACAGUUGCAUGGUUGGCAUUGUUGUUGUCAACCUAAUUAAUAGUUUCAUCAUUUAAAAAUGGGUGAAAAAGGUGAUAGGUGUUUUGUUGUUGUUGUUGUUUUUGGUAGGUUCCAGUUUGCUUGCAUUUCACGCUACUAAAAUAAUAAAAUUGCAUUGGAUGCCACUUUAUCAGUCUGAUAACCUCGGAGAGCAAUAGCAUUACUCCUAUGGCUAACUUAAAUACGAGCUGGAACAGCACCUAUGAAGUCAAUAAACCCCUUUCUUGGGUUUCAGAAAUGCUGAUUCACUCAAAUGCAGUUAAAAGAAUAACUGAAUUGAUUAAAUCACACUUGAAUUAAAGUCGAGGCUCAAAUAUUUUGAUGCAUUUGACAGAAAAUCAAAAUAACUUUUAUGCAGUGAAGAAUGGACUGAAAAAGUAUUUCUGCCUCUUCAGUGAACAGGAAAGUGGUCAGUUCAGAUGAAAUGGUUAUCUUGACCAUUUCCAUGUAGCUCUUUAAUAGGUUCAUCUCUAUUUGCAAAUACUUGUGUUAUUACCUUACUCAUGAUUUACAGGGGUGAACAGCUUCUGAGCAGAUGCACACUGAUAAUCACCUUGCACAUUUAUGAGAGGAUACAGUCUCUUUCCAGCAGACUUUUUGAUGGCCACCGAUCCAGAUCUCCAGGUUCAGUUGUGCAGUACUGUGGUGGGCUGACCUUGGCUAAGGGUCAAACGCCCACCUACUUUCACACUUCUGCUCUGCAAUUGUUUUCCAACUGCCUCUUUACUAAUGCCUUGCCAGGUUUCUGGCUAUUCUAGCUAUACUAAUUGACUUCUUACUGGUCAAAAUUCCCCAGGAACCUUCGCAGCUGGACAGACAAAAAUGAAGUUCAGGCACUGUCACAUUUUCUUCACUCACAGAAGCUAGGGACAUCCCAAUUUUCGAUCUCUCUUCGCUGAGGUAUUGCGUUUCUUAUCAAAGAUGAUGAAGAGUUCUGGUUCUGCUGAUGUCAUUCGCUCCUCUCAAGCAUAAGAUAUCCUGUCAAGACUACCAACGGGAAGAUGCUAUAUGGUAUCACUGUUCCCACAGAAUGUGCCAUUUAAGUACAAAGAAGGUCGAGAAGGAAGUGGCAUCAGAUUUUCACAGCAUGAUGGAAGAAGUAUGCAUCACUGGUGGGGUCUGAUUGCUCUGCCUCAUGUGCACACCUAGAGGAUGGUAGGAAGGGGCAGUUACAUUCCACAGACACUCUUGCUAAGCAAGCGUAUCUUCAACAAGGAAAAAGUGUUUGUACGUCCUUAAUGAAGUAAAAACACCACGGCAUUAUGCAGAAAUCAUCACUGAAAUCUAAGAGGACACAACAAUCUAAUGAAGUCACUGUUCUUUGCCUGAAAAUGUUAGCCUAGCAUUGUGAUGUUUUGAUGGACAAUAUGUAAUGAUCAUUUGAGUAUCAUCUGUUCCAUUAAAAAAAAAAAA